AUACCCACCAUCGCAUUUCCCGGGAGCUGAGAGUGGAAAGAGCCUGGCCGCUGGGAUACCAGUGCGGAAGCCGUGUCAUAGUGCAGAAAGGAUUUUGAUAGGGAGGAGAGGAGGCAGGAGUCUGGGUUCUGGACCAGUUACCUGAAGGCAUUGCGAAGUUUCUCUCCCACUGGGUAUGUCCGGUUCUUCUUCUCAAACUCAUCGUCGAAGAGGG
rnacentral:antisense_RNA from 1 species